CUUUUCGCGCGAAACCUGGUUGUUGCUGUAGUGGCGGAGAGGAUCGUGGUACUGCUAUGGCGGAAUCAUCGGAAUCCUUCACCAUGGCAUCCAGCCCGGCCCAGCGUCGGCGAGGCAAUGAUCCUCUCACCUCCAGCCCUGGCCGAAGCUCCCGGCGUACUGAUGCCCUCACCUCCAGCCCUGGCCGUGACCUUCCACCAUUUGAGGAUGAGUCCGAGGGGCUCCUAGGCACAGAGGGGCCCCUGGAGGAAGAAGAGGAUGGAGAGGAGCUCAUUGGAGAUGGCAUGGAAAGGGACUACCGCGCCAUCCCAGAGCUGGACGCCUAUGAGGCCGAGGGACUGGCUCUGGAUGAUGAGGACGUAGAGGAGCUGACGGCCAGUCAGAGGGAGGCAGCAGAGCGGGCCAUGCGGCAGCGUGACCGGGAGGCUGGCCGGGGCCUGGGCCGCAUGCGCCGUGGGCUCCUGUAUGGUGUCUCUUGCCUCCCCAGACAGCGAUGAGGAGGACGAGGAGCGCCCUGCCCGCAAGCGCCGCCAGGUGGAGCGGGCCACGGAGGACGGCGAGGAGGACGAGGAGAUGAUCGAGAGCAUCGAGAACCUGGAGGAUCUCAAAGGCCACUCUGUGCGCGAGUGGGUGAGCAUGGCGGGCCCCCGGCUGGAGAUCCACCACCGCUUCAAGAACUUCCUGCGCACUCACGUCGACAGCCACGGCCACAACGUCUUCAAGGAGCGCAUCAGCGACAUGUGCAAAGAGAACCGUGAGAGCCUGGUGGUGAACUAUGAGGACUUGGCAGCCAGGGAGCACGUGCUGGCCUACUUCCUGCCUGAGGCACCGGCGGAGCUGCUGCAGAUCUUUGAUGAGGCUGCCCUGGAGGUGGUACUGGCCAUGUACCCCAAGUACGACCGCAUCACCAACCACAUCCAUGUCCGCAUCUCCCACCUGCCUCUGGUGGAGGAGCUGCGCUCGCUGAGGCAGCUGCAUCUGAACCAGCUGAUCCGCACCAGUGGGGUGGUGACCAGCUGCACUGGCGUCCUGCCCCAGCUCAGCAUGGUCAAGUACAACUGCAACAAGUGCAAUUUCGUCCUGGGUCCUUUCUGCCAGUCCCAGAACCAGGAGGUGAAACCAGGCUCCUGUCCUGAGUGCCAGUCGGCCGGCCCCUUUGAGGUCAACAUGGAGGAGACCAUCUAUCAGAACUACCAGCGUAUCCGAAUCCAGGAGAGUCCAGGCAAAGUGGCGGCUGGCCGGCUGCCCCGCUCCAAGGACGCCAUUCUCCUCGCAGAUCUGGUGGACAGCUGCAAGCCAGGAGACGAGAUAGAGCUGACUGGCAUCUAUCACAACAACUAUGAUGGCUCCCUCAACACUGCCAAUGGCUUCCCUGUCUUUGCCACUGUCAUCCUAGCCAACCACGUGGCCAAGAAGGACAACAAGGUUGCUGUAGGGGAACUGACCGAUGAAGAUGUGAAGAUGAUCACUAGCCUCUCCAAGGAUCAGCAGAUCGGAGAGAAGAUCUUUGCCAGCAUUGCUCCUUCCAUCUAUGGUCAUGAAGACAUCAAGAGAGGCCUGGCUCUGGCCCUGUUCGGAGGGGAGCCCAAAAACCCAGGUGGCAAGCACAAGGUACGUGGUGAUAUCAACGUGCUCUUGUGCGGAGACCCUGGCACAGCGAAGUCGCAGUUUCUCAAGUAUAUUGAGAAAGUGUCCAGCCGAGCCAUCUUCACCACUGGCCAGGGGGCGUCGGCUGUGGGCCUCACGGCGUAUGUCCAGCGGCACCCUGUCAGCAGGGAGUGGACCUUGGAGGCUGGGGCCCUGGUUCUGGCUGACCGAGGAGUGUGUCUCAUUGAUGAAUUUGACAAGAUGAAUGACCAGGACAGAACCAGCAUCCAUGAGGCCAUGGAGCAACAGAGCAUCUCCAUCUCGAAGGCUGGCAUCGUCACCUCCCUGCAGGCUCGCUGCACGGUCAUUGCUGCCGCCAACCCCAUAGGAGGGCGCUACGACCCCUCGCUGACUUUCUCUGAGAACGUGGACCUCACAGAGCCCAUCAUCUCACGCUUUGACAUCCUGUGUGUGGUGAGGGACACCGUGGACCCAGUCCAGGACGAGAUGCUGGCCCGCUUCGUGGUGGGCAGCCACGUCAGACACCACCCCAGCAACAAGGAGGAGGAGGGGCUGGCCAAUGGCAGCGCUGCUGAGCCCGCCAUGCCCAACACGUAUGGCGUGGAGCCCCUGCCCCAGGAGGUCCUGAAGAAGUACAUCAUCUACGCCAAGGAGAGGGUCCACCCGAAGCUCAACCAGAUGGACCAGGACAAGGUGGCCAAGAUGUACAGUGACCUGAGGAAAGAAUCUAUGGCGACAGGCAGCAUCCCCAUUACGGUGCGGCACAUCGAGUCCAUGAUCCGCAUGGCGGAGGCCCACGCGCGCAUCCAUCUGCGGGACUAUGUGAUCGAAGACGACGUCAACAUGGCCAUCCGCGUGAUGCUGGAGAGCUUCAUAGACACACAGAAGUUCAGCGUCAUGCGCAGCAUGCGCAAGACUUUUGCCCGCUACCUUUCAUUCCGGCGUGACAACAAUGAGCUGUUGCUCUUCAUACUGAAGCAGUUAGUGGCAGAGCAGGUGACAUAUCAGCGCAACCGCUUUGGGGCCCAGCAGGACACUAUUGAGGUCCCUGAGAAGGACUUGGUGGAUAAGGCUCGUCAGAUCAACAUCCACAACCUCUCUGCAUUUUAUGACAGUGAGCUCUUCAGGAUGAACAAGUUCAGCCACGACCUGAAAAGGAAAAUGAUCCUGCAGCAGUUCUGAGGCCCUAUGCCAUCCAUAAGGAUUCCUUGGGAUUCUGGUUUGGGGUGGUCAGUGCCCUCUGUGCUUUAUGGACACAAAACCAGAGCACUUGAUGAACUCGGGGUACUAGGGUCAGGGCUUAUAGCAGGAUGUCUGGCUGCACCUGGCAUGACUGUUUGUUUCUCCAAGCCUGCUUUGUGCUUCUCACCUUUGGGUGGGAUGCCUUGCCAGUGUGUCUUACUUGGUUGCUGAACAUCUUGCCACCUCCGAGUGCUUUGUCUCCACUCAGUACCUUGGAUCAGAGCUGCUGAGUUCAGGAUGCCUGCGUGUGGUUUAGGUGUUAGCCUUCUUACAUGGAUGUCAGGAGAGCUGCUGCCCUCUUGGCGUGAGUUGCGUAUUCAGGCUGCUUUUGCUGCCUUUGGCCAGAGAGCUGGUUGAAGAUGUUUGUAAUCGUUUUCAGUCUCCUGCAGGUUUCUGUGCCCCUGUGGUGGAAGAGGGCACGACAGUGCCAGCGCAGCGUUCUGGGCUCCUCAGUCGCAGGGGUGGGAUGUGAGUCAUGCGGAUUAUCCACUCGCCACAGUUAUCAGCUGCCAUUGCUCCCUGUCUGUUUCCCCACUCUCUUAUUUGUGCAUUCGGUUUGGUUUCUGUAGUUUUAAUUUUUAAUAAAGUUGAAUAAAAUAUAAA